AAAUUGAAGAGUUUGAUCAUGGCUCAGAUUGAACGCUGGCGGCAGGCCUAACACAUGCAAGUCGAACGGUAACAGGAAGCAGCUUGCUGCUUUGCUGACGAGUGGCGGACGGGUGAGUAAUGUCUGGGAAACUGCCUGAUGGAGGGGGAUAACUACUGGAAACGGUAGCUAAUACCGCAUAACGUCGCAAGACCAAAGAGGGGGACCUUCGGGCCUCUUGCCAUCGGAUGUGCCCAGAUGGGAUUAGCUUGUUGGUGGGGUAACGGCUCACCAAGGCGACGAUCCCUAGCUGGUCUGAGAGGAUGACCAGCCACACUGGAACUGAGACACGGUCCAGACUCCUACGGGAGGCAGCAGUGGGGAAUAUUGCACAAUGGGCGCAAG
rnacentral:rRNA from 1 species